UUUUAUCAAGAAAGACUGAGGGACUGGCCCAAUGACGUCUGGCAACCUGAAUAAUUUUCAUUUACAUUGUUUAAGGUGCUAAUUCCUGCAGAUAUUUUGUGAUAUCUGAAAGAUAAGA
rnacentral:ncRNA from 1 species